UGGGAGGAAGUGGAGUCCACAUCCAGUUCCCUGUUCUUUCCAAGCUGAAGAGCAAGGAUCUGCGGAGCAGCUGAGAGGGCAACGCCCGGGGCUAUCGAUACCAAAGCCCGGAGAGGAGGCACCAGACAGGGCAGGGAGCAGGGAGGAUGGCUGAGAUGUACAAAGCCAUGGAGCUGGGCGACCAAGAGAACAUGCUUGGGGCCCAGAGGUCUGCUGGUCCGCUUGGCUACUUGAGAAGACUGGCAGGGUAUCUGACGCGGGGCUCCCUUUCUCUGGUGCUGCUUCUGGCCUCUGUGGGCCUCUUCCUGUUCCU